CUUUCUAGUUUAAGAUCUACAUUUCUAGAUAUUAUGGUAGUUCGACCGCAGAAUUUUUUUGUUUCGGUAUCUCUGGAAUAUGAGUGUGUGACUUGUUAGAAUUGAUCCUAUUGAUAAUACAUAGAAAGGGCCUGUUAUCUCUAUCAAGAUGAUUCUAAUUCGCCAUAUAUUAUUUAUUCUAGUAUCUGGAACACGAAAUAGAUAGAGUGGAUAAAAAAAUGGAACUAUGAUUCAUACUCACUAUUAAGACCUCGCAACCAGACUGAAAAAUUCAAGUAGUUCUUAAAUAAAAAUAAAAAAGAAAUUUUCUUCCUUCCAAUUUUGUUUGCCCAAAAGACAACUUUUUUUCUCUCGAUUUUGUCGAGUCAUUACACUGAUUCAAUAAAUGAUUAUCAAGCGGUUCUUAUUCGAAGAACCCUUGCCUUUUGUUUAGCUUGAGACUAAAUCAUCGUGGCUCUAGUAUGAAUCUAAGGUUUUAAUUGAACUGAUUCAUAGGAUCUCAACAAGAUAAUUUCUAUAUUAUGCAUAAAAAAACAAAUCCUUUAUAGGGAAGAGAAAAGUCAAGAAGCCUCUAAUGACCAACAUAAGGGAAAGGAAGAAAGAAAGACGCGCCAACUUGAGAUUUUUUGGCAUUAUCAUCACAAAGAAGAUAUUCCGGAUUUUUCUUAUUUGAUAUCUUCAAGGCAAAUCGACCCAAUUCAGUGGCUGAUGAAGUUUUGAACCUUUUUCUAAUAUUCGUUGAAAAGUUUUGUGUUUCUGCUUGAGCCGUACGAGAUGAAAUUUUCAUAUACGGCUCUUAGAGGGGGACUCGGGUUAGUUACCUAUCUCAAUAAAGUAUAUGAUUGGUUUGAGGAACGUCUUGAGAUUCAGGCAAUUGCAGAUGAUAUAACUAGUAAAUACGUUCCUCCCCAUGUCAACAUAUUUUAUUGUUUAGGGGGAAUUACACUUACUUGUUUUCUAGUACAAGUCGCUACCGGUUUUGCUAUGACUUUUUACUACCGACCAACCGUUACAGAGGCUUUUUCCUUGGUUCAAUACAUAAUGACCGAGGCCAACUUUGGUUGGUUAAUCCGAUCCGUUCAUCGAUGGUCAGCAAGUAUGAUGGUUUUAAUGAUGAUCCUGCAUGUAUUUCGUGUGUAUCUCACAGGGGGAUUUAAAAAACCCCGUGAAUUAACUUGGGUCACAGGUGUGGUUUUGGCUGUUUUGACUGCAUCAUUUGGUGUAACUGGUUAUUCUUUGCCUUGGGAUCAAAUUGGCUAUUGGGCAGUCAAAAUUGUGAAAGGUGUACCUGACGCCAUUCCGGUAAUAGGAUCGCCUUUAGUGGAGUUAUUACGCGGAAGUGCUAGUGUGGGCCAAUCCACUUUGACUCGUUUUUAUAGUGUACAUACCUUUGUACCGCCUCUGCUUACUGCCGUAUUUAUGUUAAUGCACUUUCCAAUGAUACGUAAGCAAGGUAUUUCGGGUCCUUUAUAGGGAAGGCAUAUCAUAGAGAAUUAUAAUUAUCAUAUAUCAUAUCGGGUAGGUUGUGGUAUUUCAUUGCUACAAGCAUGGGUUAUUGUAAAAUAACACAUGUCAUUUGGAUACUUCUCUUCAACUCCAAAGUAUUUUUAUACAAUACAAAUAGUUAAAGUUAAUUUUACGAAAGAAAAAAGGCGGAUUAUGGGAGUAACAAAGAAACCAGACUUAAAUGAUCCUGUAUUAAGAGCUAAAUUAGCUAAAGGGAUGGGACAUAAUUAUUACGGGGAACCCGCAUGGCCCAACGAUCUUUUAUAUAUUUUUCCAGUAGUAAUUCUAGGUACUAUUGCAUGCAAUGUAGGUUUAGCGGUUCUCGAGCCAUCAAUGAUUGGUGAACCGGCAGAUCCGUUUGCAACUCCUCUGGAAAUAUUACCCGAGUGGUACUUCUUUCCCGUGUUUCAAAUACUCCGUACGGUACCCAAUAAGUUAUUGGGCGUUCUCUUAAUGGUUUCUGUGCCAACAGGCUUAUUGACAGUACCUUUUCUAGAGAAUGUCAAUAAAUUUCAAAAUCCAUUUCGCCGCCCAGUAGCUACGACCGUUUUUUUAAUCGGUACUGUAGUAGCUCUUUGGUUAGGUAUUGGAGCAACAUUACCCAUUGAUAAAUCAUUAACUUUAGGUCUUUUUUAGAUAUUUUUUGAUUCAUUCAACCGUGAAGUACCAUAGGUAUCUAGGAAAUAGUUACUUCCAAGUGAAUCUUCCCUAGAUACCUAAAAUCCAUUUUAUUAUGAUCCAUUUCGCG
rnacentral:rRNA from 1 species